rnacentral:rRNA from 1 species
GGAUCCAGACUUUGAUUCUGGCUCAGGAUGAACGCUAGCUACAGGCUUAACACAUGCAAGUCGAGGGGAAACGACAUCGAAAGCUUGCUUUUGAUGGGCGUCGACCGGCGCACGGGUGAGUAACGCGUAUCCAACCUGCCCACCACUUGGGGAUAACCUUGCGAAAGUAAGACUAAUACCCAAUGAUAUCUCUAGAAGACAUCUGAAAGAGAUUAAAGAUUUAUCGGUGAUGGAUGGGGAUGCGUCUGAUUAGCUUGUUGGCGGGGUAACGGCCCACCAAGGCAACGAUCAGUAGGGGUUCUGAGAGGAAGGUCCCCCACAUUGGAACUGAGACACGGUCCAAACUCCUACGGGAGGCAGCAGUGAGGAAUAUUGGUCAAUGGACGAGAGUCUGAACCAGCCAAGUAGCGUGCAGGAUGACGGCCCUAUGGGUUGUAAACUGCUUUUAUAAGGGAAUAAAGUGAGUCUCGUGAGACUUUUUGCAUGUACCUUAUGAAUAAGGACCGGCUAAUUCCGUGCCAGCAGCCGCGGUAAUACGGAAGGUCCGGGCGUUAUCCGGAUUUAUUGGGUUUAAAGGGAGCGUAGGCCGGAGAUUAAGCGUGUUGUGAAAUGUAGAUGCUCAACAUCUGAACUGCAGCGCGAACUGGUUUCCCUGAGUACGCACAAAGUGGGCGGAAUUCGUGGUGUAGCGGUGAAAUGCUUAGAUAUCACGAAGAACUCCGAUUGCGAAGGCAGCUCACUGGAGCGCAACUGACGCUGAAGCUCGAAAGUGCGGGUAUCGAACAGGAUUAGAUACCCUGGUAGUCCGCACGGUAAACGAUGGAUGCCCGCUGUUGGUCUGAAUAGGUCAGCGGCCUAGCGAAAGCAUUAAGCAUCCCACCUGGGGAGUACGCCGGCAACGGUGCAACUCAAAUGAAUUGACGG